UACGGAGGGAGCUAGCGUUGUUCGGAAAUACUGGGCGUAAAGCGCACGUAGGCGGCGCAGCAAGUCAGGGGUGAAAUCCCGGGGCUCAACCCCGGAACUGCCCUUGAAACUGCAGUGCUAGAAUCCUGGAGAGGCGAGUGGAAUUCCGAGUGUAGAGGUGAAAUUCGUAGAUAUUCGGAAGAACACCAGUGGCGAAGGCGGCUCACUGGCCCGGUACUGACGCUGAGGUGCGAAAGCGUGGGGAGCAAACAGG
rnacentral:rRNA from 1 species